CAAAGUAAAAUAAGUAAUAUCGGCAUAUGUAUGAAAGAAGAAUUUGGAUGACGCAUAUAUUUAAUUAUAUAUUAUUAUUGGGUUGUUGACUGUUGAGAGUCUCAACUUGAGAAUUUAUAUCUGGAAAUCAUUUCACCUUUUUUUGCAGUUGCACUUGGAAUUAUCUAGUAAUAAUUUAUACAAGACGAAGUUUGAUUGUAUAUUUAAUUGAGUGAUUUCAAUUUAUAAUCUCAAUUGAUUGAAAUUUAACAAAAACCGCAAUUAUUUAUUUUUAUCGCAAAUUACAUGCAUAAUAUUAACCUUUUUCACCCACCGAAAAAAUAUUACUCUCGAUUUUCGUAUGUAUACAAAUUUAUGUCAAAAUUAAUGGUUCAUUUCAUUACAUGUGACAACGUUCACUUUUAUAAAAAUACUUAAUCAAAACAGUCAACUGAAUAAGAAUUAAGUACUCAAACAAUCUCAUACAACAACAAAGUAUCUAUAAAAAUUCUCACGAUAUGACAUACAUGACAAGCUCAAGUAUAAGUGUCCUCAUAAAUAUUAAUCGUCUAGCUUGCGUCUGGCACAAUGCAAAUAGAGCAAUAUCUAAUCGAACUCAUUCUAGAUAAUCACCAACUAAGCAAAUAUUUACAUGAAUGCAUUUUUACCCUUUGUUUUUCAUUCGAAUUAUUAAUUUAACAUUGUUGUAUGCCAGCAAAUAUGUACCUUUGUAUUUACUACGUUCAACCCAUUAAUACCUAUCUGAAGCCGAAGCCCUACCUCAAAUAAUUUAAGGUGACAUAUUUGCACAGUAAAUCGAAAUCAUUAGUUUUUAGACAAAUUAGUUCAAUCAACACACAUGUAAUGUAACAUUGAAUUGAUUGAGUUAGUUACGAUAAUGUCAAAAAAAAACUUUGGCAAUCUGAUCAAAAAAGUGCCCUUUAAUAUCAUUCUAAUCACACGUUUCCAUCCCCCCAUUCGAUUUGGGUUGUUAUUCAUAGAUAACCUCAACACAAGUAAAGCAUUUGCAUUCUGAUCCUGCGUACCGUGCCAGUAAAGGAUUGAUUGAUUUGAUGGCGACUCCAGAUUACCUCACCUUCCUCCCCAGCGAUAAAAAGUUACAGAAUGUUAUACGCAGUGGACUUACAUAAAAAAUUGGGUGCAAGAAUGGGAUGAAUUGAUCCACUUAGUUAAUUUAUUUUGUCAGGAAUGAAUUGGUAAAAAUUAUUUGGAUUUUUGCAUACAUAAAUCUUACCAAGUACCAAGUAGCCAAAAAGGGUGACAAAUAUGGUGGGGACGUACAUAACUAUGUACAUACCACAGAAUUAUACUAGUCAAUCAUACAUACGUACGACUACCUUCAUUCAGGUGAUUUGAAACAUGUAAUUAGUCACGUAUUCAUAAUAUUUUUUAAAUAAAGAUGUCGCAUUGCUUAUCAUUUUGCAACAAUGUAUCGUUACGUUCAAUGUGUCUCGAUGUUGUCAAUUUUUAAGUUGAGGGUGAUUUUUUAGUCUAGUUAUGAUUUAGUGGAUUAGAAGAAAAGGGAUUUAUGUGUCAUGUUAGACGUACUUAUUGAUACAUCUUGUUUGCUUUCACUUCAUCCCAUGUAAGGUUUUUGUGUAAUUAUUAAACUUCUAGUUUUUUAAGGGAAUUGUGUAAACUGUACGAAUUACAUGUAAUAAUCAACCAAGAAAUAAAUAAUUAUUAGUAGACA